CACUUCAUCACUCCUGCGACAUAUUUUGCAUCGAAACAUCGGAAAUGUAUGUUAAAAUAAAACAGAAAUCAGUACAGAAGCAUGAAAGGCAUGCUGUGCUGCGUUUGUCCGGACUGCUUGCAGUGUCAUCCAGUGGUGAUCGUCUGCCCAGCAACCGAGGUGGAAAGUUCAGCCGGUUCUCGUUCCCGGUCUGGGUCUCCUAGAGGAAGUGCACUUACAGGCACUGGUCUGGCCCCCAACCUGUCGUGAAGGAUCAGCAAGUGGAUGCAGGACUGCAGUGCGGCACAGGAAGAAAUCAGCAAAAUUGCCCCGGUUUAAGGAGGUGGAUGUGGUCAGCUGACCCUGCCGGGGUGGAGGGGUGCCGGCCACAUCAGAGGGGUGAAGACCACUGGAUCGACUUUCCAUUUUAACUCCC